rnacentral:rRNA from 1 species
UCGAGAAUUUUUCUCAAUGGGCGAAAGCCUGAAGGAGCGACGCCGCGUGGGGGAUGAAGGGCUUCGGCUCGUAAACCCCUGUCAUUUGCGAACAAACCCCGUUGUAUAAUACAUGGCGGGUUGAUUGUAGCGAAAGAGGAAGGGACGGCUAACUCUGUGCCAGCAGCCGCGGUAAUACAGAGGUCCCAAGCGUUGUUCGGAUUCACUGGGCGUAAAGGGUGCGUAGGUGGCGGGGUAAGUUUGAUGUGAAAUCUCCGGGCUUAACCCGGAAAUGGCAUUGAAUACUAUCCCGCUCGAGGGUUGGAGGGGAGACUGGAAUUCUCGGUGUAGCAGUGAAAUGCGUAGAUAUCGAGAGGAACACCAGUGGCGAAGGCGGGUCUCUGGACAACUCCUGACACUGAGGCACGAAAGCUAGGGGAGCAAACAGGAUUAGAUACCCCCGUAGUCC